rnacentral:lncRNA from 1 species
GCAAACCAUUAGUUUUUAUAAUUAAUUAAUGAAUUAAGUUACAACAAAAACGGAAAUCGGGUUGAAGCAACCCUAACUCCAGUCUACUGUUUUAUUGCUGCCGAUCUCCCCCUGUUUCCAAUCGAUCUCCCCAAGUACCGUCUAUCAUUGGUGCUUUCAACACCUCCUGCCUGUCGGGAUUUGAUCAGGAUUCUGCCUGCCGCGAUUUGAUCAGGAUCUGCCCAUCAUCUGAAGAUCUUCAGAAGAUCAAGAUUUGCAAAAAAAAGCAUAUCAAAAGCAUGUUCUUUGUUUAAGAGAUCCUAAACAGGAACGUAUAUAUUCCAUUAAACUCAAUAUCAUUGCUAUUAUUGAAUAAAAUAAAUUUCAGGACACUUAUUACAUCUGAGGAACAUCUGAAGAAGGUUUUGUAGACCUAUAAAAUUUACAAAAAAAUUUCGCCAAAAGUAGGUUCUCUACUUAAGAGAUCCGGAUCAGGGACGUAUCUAAUCAUCCCUAUCUUAUUUGUUCUUCUAUUAAGUGACACAGUUAUAUUUCAAAUUCAUCAUCAUCAUCUGAUAAAUGGCUGAUCCCAUGGAUAUCCAACUAAAAAGACUCCAAAUUAAACAGGACACUGAAGCUGAGAGACUGAGAAACAUGGAAAUGAUAAGUAAUCCAGAGAAUCAAAUUCAGCAAAAGCAAGAAAUGAAGUACAAAUCUAUCAACAGUAUUCCCUAUACCAACAGUAGAUGAGAUACUAGCUGAACUAAAGGGGGCUAAAAUAUUUUCAAAGCUAGAUUUGAGAUCUGGCUAUCAUCAGAUAUUAAUAAACCCUAGUGAUGUGGAGAAAAAAGCUUUUAGAACCCACCAGGGUCACUAUGAGUUUCUAGUGAUGCCCUUUGGCCUCACCAAUACCUCAGCAACCUUCCAAGUUACUAUGAAUAGAAUAUUUUCACCACUAUUAAGGAAGUUUGUGCUGGUUUUCUUUGAUGAUAUUCUAGUUUUCAGUUCUUCUAGAGAGGACCAUGUUAAUCAUCUGAAAACUGUUUUAAUGACACUUAGGGAGAAUCAACUAUUUGCCAAGCAGUCCAAGUGCUUAUUUUUUUAGAGUGAACUGCAGUUCUUGGGACACAAUAUCAGAGCAGAUGGUAAAUCCUGAUCCAGAGAAGGUAUCUUCAAUUCUGAAUUGGCCAACUCCAAAGAAUGUUAAAGCUUUGAGAGGAUUUAUGGGUCUUUCAGGGUAUUACAAAAAGUUUGUUAAAAAUUAUUCCCACCUAGCUGCCCCUAUGACAGACUUACUAAAAAAAGAUCAAUUUGCAUGGAAUGACCUGGCAGAAAAGGGUUUUUUUAUCUCUGAAAGAAGCCAUAGUCUCAGCCCCAGUAUUGCAUCAUCCAGAUUUUGAAAAUCCAUUUGCUAUAGAGACUGAUGCUUACUUAAAUGGAGUUGGGGCAGUAUUAAGUCAGGAGGGUCACCCUAUUGCAUUUUUUAGUUCAAGAAUAUCAGGUAGAAUGCUAUUAGCAUCUACUUAUUCAAAAGAAAUGCUAGCUAUCACUCAAGCUAUUUCUAAGUGGAGGCAUUAUAUAUUGGGCCAUCAUUUUGUAAUCCAUACAGACCACCAAAGCAUAAAGAACAUGGUGAGCCAGAUAAUACAAACCCUUGACCAACAGAAGUUUCUAUGCCAAUUGUUGGGAUUUGAUUAUUCUAUUAAAUACAGGCCAGGAAAAGAAAAUAAAGCAGCAGAUGGUUUGUCAAAACAGUUUGAGGGAGAUGAUUCUAAGGGAGAAUUACAGGCAGGAUCAGUGUUAAGUCUGUGUGCCCUGGUUAGUAGAUUAAUUGACGGAGUGAAAGAGGAACAAAACUCAGAUACAAAGCUAUUAAAAAUAAAAGAGAGCAUCCAGAAAGGUACUGAAAGCAAUACACAGUUGAUAUUGAGAGAAGGAUUACUUCUCAUGAACAAUAGAUAUGUGGUAUCACCCACCUCAGUCUUAAUUAGUGACAUUCUUAGAGAAUAUCAUGACAGCAUCAUUGGUGGUCAUUCAGGGGUGGAAAGAACAAUUAGAAGAAUUAAAUUAAUUUUCUGGUGGAAGGGAAUGUCAAAAGAAAUAAAAAAAUAUGUAGAGGAUUGUGUGGUGUGUCAAAGAAUGAAAACAUAUAUUAAAAGACCACAAGGUCUCUUCCUACACCUGAAGCAGUAUGGCAGGAUAUCUCAACAGAUUUUAUAACCAAUCUACCAGUGGUCAAGGAUAAAUAAGUUAUUAUAAUUGUAGUGGACAGACUAUUUAAAUUCUGCCACUUGGGAAGUUUACCAGCUGAUUUCAACUCUAAGAUGGUGGCAACCUUCUUUGUGCAAGAAGUAAUAAGAUUGCAUGGUGUACCAACAUCAAUCAUUUCUGAGAGGGACAAGGUUUUCACUAGUAGUUUUUGGAGAGAAAUUAAUAGACUAAGUGGAACAACUCUGAAGUUAUCCUCUGCAUACCACCAGAGACUGAGGUAGUAAAUAGAGGUAUUGAAAUAUUCUUAAGGUGUUUAGCUUAUGAACAACCAAAAAAAUGGUUAACCCUACUCCCUUGGGCAGAGUUAUGGCACAACUCCACAUUUAAUGUAUCAAUAGAGAUGACCCCAUUUAAAGCUCUAUAUGGCAGGGAGGCUAACACCUUUGUGGAAGCAGUUAAAGGAAGUUCAACUAAUAUUGAGACUGAAGAGGAAUUGCUUAGAAGGCAGGAAAUUCUAGAAAUAGUUAAAAUUAAUAUGGGCAGAGCAAAAGAGAGAAUGAAGAAGCAAGUUGAUCUUCAUAGAAGGGAAAUGGAGUUCGAAAUUGGGGAUUGGGUAUUUGUUAAACUGAAGCUUUACAGACAGAUACCUAUUGCUAAAAAACUACAUCACAAACUCUCAGCAAGAUAUUAUAGGCCUUAUGAAAUUUUAAAAAAUAUCAGUGAGGUGGCAUACAAAAUCAAAUUACCAAACAAUAGCCUAAUUCAUGAUGUUUUUCAUGUCAGCUUGAAGAAAUAUAGAGGAAUAUUACCACCCGUGGAAAUUGGGUGCUUAACCAAAGUUACAAUUGGAAGUCAGCCGGUAAUUUAUCCUGAGGCGGUACUGGAAAAGAGGGCUUUACUGGGAAAGGGGAAUCUGGUGGAGCAAGCGUCUAUCAGAAUUCCAGAGCUUUCGAUUCUAUCUACAAUUUAGGUAUAUGUGCUCCGGCGUUUCCUCAACUUCUUCACACAGAGUGCACUCUGAUGGGCAUUAGUAGCGUCAAGCUCUGAGGCUGUUGAAGGUAUGUAAUCUGUUCCACUUUAAACUCCACAAAAGUAUACUCAUUUUUUAUUUUAUCCAAUUGACCAAAAUAGAUUGGUCAUUUGAUCAAAUUGUGGUGGUUUUUGUGGAUUUGAUCCAUCUUAAAAUGAAAAAGAAUUAUUGUGAAAGUUCGGAAGUAAUAACAAUUAUAGAAAUUAAACAGGGGCAUAAAUAAAAUAUUCCCUUAGCCGUGAG